rnacentral:lncRNA from 1 species
GGCCCAUCGAAUAACAAGGUCUAGCCCAACAAGCUACAAACUUACUCGGUUCGGCGAGUAAAGCUGUCAGCUCGAUCCUAGAGUGCUUUUAGCUGACGACCAAGCCGACCAAAAGCAUCCAGCUCGGAGGAACUCUAUCAAGGCCCAUAUACUCGGCCUUCUCAAGUUAAGGCCCAAAGAGGGACCGGAUCUAGGGCACACAAGGACGGAAAGCCAAUAAAAAGAAAGGAGACAACAACAAAAAGGGGAUCGACACUUUUACACACACACUGAGCGGCUAGAUCUAGGGUUUUAGUCUCUCUUUACUCCUACUCGUUCUGUACCUUUUCCGGUUUGCUCUUCGAGCUCCGGCUUGUUUCCUUGAUCUCCUGUCACUCUUAUACCUCCCUUUGAUCAGAUCUAAUAAAACGUAUUUAGUCAUCAC